CCGGAUCGGACGUCGCGCUCUCCCGUCCCUCGAAGCGGCGGCCGGCCCGGAUGGAAAGACACGCCCAUCGGCGGCGCGCCACCUACUAACCCGGGUGGCGCGCC
rnacentral:sRNA from 1 species